UCAGGAUGAAUGCUGGCGGCGUGGAUGAGGCAUGCAAGUCGAGUGGGUUUAGACCCACGGCAGACGAGGUAGUAACACGUAGGUACGUACCCCAGAGUCAGGAAUAACCGGCCGAAAGGUCGGAUAAUACUUGAUAUCUCGCGAGAGGAAAGAUUUAUCGCUCUGGGAACGGCCUGCGACGUAUCAGCUAGUUGGUAGGGUAACGGCCUACCAAGGCUACGACGCGUAGGGGAGCUGAGAGGCUGACCCCCACCGAUGGCACUGCGACACGGGCCAUACUCCUACGGGAGGCUGCAGUCGAGAAUCUUCCGCAAUGGACGAAAGUCUGACGGAGCGACGCCGCGUGGUUGAUGAAGUCCUUAGGGACGUAAAAACCUUUUAUGAGGGAGGAAAUUUUGACGUUACCUCAUGAAUAAGGGGCUCCCAACUCUGUGCCAGCAGGAGCGGUAAUACAGAGGCCCCGAGCAUUAUCCGGAUUUACUGGGCGUAAAGGGUGUGUAGGUGGUGUGAUUAGUCUCUCGUUAAAACCCGAAGCUCAACUUCGGAAUCGCGAGGGAAACGGUCACACUCGAGGAUGCGAGAGGUAUGUGGAACUCAAGGUGUAGGGGUGAAAUCCGUUGAUAUCUUGGGGAACACCAAAUGCGAAGGCAGCAUACUGGCGCACUCCUGACACUGAAACACGAAAGCGUGGGUAGCGAACGGGAUUAGAUACCCCGGUAGUCCACGCCCUAAACGUUGCCCGCUAGCUAUAGGGAGUAUCGACCCUCUCUGUGGCGAAGCUAACGCGUUAAGCGGGCCGC
rnacentral:rRNA from 1 species